ACAAGGAAGAAGUAACAUUCUUGCAACACAUUGGCCACUGCUUCUGCCAACUAGCCGGCAUUCAGAAGAUGCUCAUCACAUUCAACGAGAGCUGCCCAGAUGCUUGGUCGCACUUACAGUAUAUGCUGCUCCAAUGAAAGACUCUGGGCAUUUUACAUAUCAAAUCUUAACACAUUCAAUAAAACCAACCAAUAAAACCAUCCAUAAAUAAA